CGUGCUGAGAAGUGAUCAACUGUCAUUAGAGAGUAAAGUCGUACAGUUCCGUAGUGACUGCGGAAGAUCAUA
rnacentral:rRNA from 1 species